AAUAAAAAGAAAAUUUCUUCAAACAUUUUUUUGAGAGUAUUAAUAUUCAACAUCAUAGUGAAUUGCUCAAAGGCAAAACAAAAAUUUUAAGUUCAUUAGACCACAUUCAUUCUGUGUCAGAAACCUAUGCUGUGUCAACUAUUUAAUCACAAUCCAAAUUUAAAGCUGAAUCCAGCUUGAAUGUUGUGUCCAUACUUGCCCCAACCGUUCAGGGUUCAACCUCUGUGGUCAUAUAAAGCUGC
rnacentral:lncRNA from 1 species